CGUAAACGGUGGGCACUAGUUGUGGGAACCUUCCACGGUUUCUGCGACGCAGCUAACGCAUUAAGUGCCCCGCCUGGGGAGUACGAUCGCAAGAUUAAAACUCAAAGGAAUUGACGGGGCCCCGCACAAGCAGCGGAGCAUGCGGCUUAAUUCGACGCAACGCGAAGAACCUUACCAAGGCUUGACAUAUAGGGAAAAGUGGCAGAGAUGUCAUGUCCGCAAGGGCUCUAUACAGGUGGUGCAUGGUUGUCGUCAGCUCGUGUCGUGAGAUGUUGGGUUAAGUCCCGCAACGAGCGCAACCCUCGUCCUAUGUUGCCAGCACGUAAUGGUGGGAACUCAUGGGAGACUGCCGGGGUCAACUCGGAGGAAGGUGGGGAUGACGUCAAAUCAUCAUGCCCCUUAUGUCUUGGGCUUCACGCAUGCUACAAUGGCCAGUACAAAGGGCUGCGAUACCGUAAGGUGGAGCGAAUCCCAUAAAGCUGGUCUCAGUUCGGAUUGAGGUCUGCAACUCGACCUCAUGAAGUCGGAGUCGCUAGUAAUCGUAGAUCAGCAACGCUACGGUGAUACGUUCCCGGGCCUUGUACACACCGCCCGUCAAGUCACGAAAGUCGGUAACACCCGAAGCCGGUGGCCUAACCGUAAGGA
rnacentral:rRNA from 1 species